CAGGCUUAACACAUGCAAGUCGAGGGGCAGCAUGGUCUUAGCUUGCUAAGGCCGAUGGCGACCGGCGCACGGGUGAGUAACACGUAUCCAACCUGCCGUCUACUCUUGGACAGCCUUCUGAAAGGAAGAUUAAUACAAGAUGGCAUCAUGAGUCCGCAUGUUCACAUGAUUAAAGGUAUUCCGGUAGACGAUGGGGAUGCGUUCCAUUAGAUAGUAGGCGGGGUAACGGCCCACCUAGUCUUCGAUGGAUAGGGGUUCUGAGAGGAAGGUCCCCCACAUUGGAACUGAGACACGGUCCAAACUCCUACGGGAGGCAGCAGUGAGGAAUAUUGGUCAAUGGGCGAGAGCCUGAACCGGCCAAGUAGCGUGAAGGAUGACUGCCCUAUGGGUUGUAAACUUCUUUUAUAAAGGAAUAAAGUCGGGUAUGCAUACCCGUUUGCAUGUACUUUAUGAAUAAGGAUCGGCUAACUCCGUGCCAGCAGCCGCGGUAAUACGGAGGAUCCGAGCGUUAUCCGGAUUUAUUGGGUUUAAAGGGAGCGUAGAUGGAUGUUUAAGUCAGUUGUGAAAGUUUGCGGCUCAACCGUAAAAUUGCAGUUGAUACUGGAUAUCUUGAGUGCAGUUGAGGCAGGCGGAAUUCGUGGUGUAGCGGUGAAAUGCUUAGAUAUCACGAAGAACUCCGAUUGCGAAGGCAGCCUGCUAAGCUGCAACUGACAUUGAGGCUCGAAAGCGUGGGUAUCAAACAGGAUUAGAUACCCUGGUAGUCCACACGGUAAACGAUGAAUACUCGCUGUUUGCGAUAUACAGCAAGCGGCCAAGCGAAAGCGUUAAGUAUUCCACCUGGGGAGUACGCCGGCAACGGUGAAACUCAAAGGAAUUGACGGGGGCCCGCACAAGCGGAGGAACAUGUGGUUUAAUUCGAUGAUACGCGAGGAACCUUACCCGGGCUUAAAUUGCAGAUGAAUUACGGUGAAAGCCGUAAGCCGCAAGGCAUCUGUGAAGGUGCUGCAUGGUUGUCGUCAGCUCGUGCCGUGAGGUGUCGGCUUAAGUGCCAUAACGAGCGCAACCCUUGUUGUCAGUUACUAACAGGUUCCGCUGAGGACUCUGACAAGACUGCCAUCGUAAGAUGUGAGGAAGGUGGGGAUGACGUCAAAUCAGCACGGCCCUUACGUCCGAGGCUACACACGUGUUACAAUGGGGGGUACAGAGGGCCGCUACCACGCGAGUGGAUGCCAAUCCCAAAAACCUCUCUCAGUUCGGACUGGAGUCUGCAACCCGACUCCACGAAGCUGGAUUCGCUAGUAAUCGCGCAUCAGCCACGGCGCGGUGAAUACGUUCCCGGGCCUUGUACACACCGCCCGUCAAGCCAUGGGAGCCGGGGGUACCUGAAGUGCGUAACCGCGAGGAGCGCCCUAGGGUAAAACUGGUGACUGGGGC
rnacentral:rRNA from 1 species